AUGCGGUCCCGGGUUCUGUGGGGCGCUGCCCGGUGGCUCUGGCCCCGCCGGGCCGUUGGCCCAGCCCGCCGGCCCCUGAGCUCCGGUAGCCCGCCGCUGGAGGAGCUGUUCGCCCGGGGCGGGCCCUUGCGGACCUUCCUCGAGCGCCAUUCGGGGUCUGAAGCCCACUUGAAGGUCAGGAGGCCCGAGUUGCUGGCGGUGAUCAGACUGCUGAACGAGAAGGAGCAGGAGCUGCGGGAGACUGAGCACUUGCUGCACGAUGAGAAUGAAGAUUUAAGGAAACUUGCAGAGAAUGAAAUCACUUUGUGUCAAAAAGAAAUAACCCAGCUGAAGCAUCAGAAGAAACAGAUGAAAAUGAUUUGAUCCUGGAAGUAACUGCAGGAGUUGGAGGUCAGGAGGCAAUGUUGUUUACAUCAGAGAUAUUUGAUAUGUAUCAGCAAUAUGCUGCAUUUAAAAGAUGGCAUUUUGAAACCCUGGAAUAUUUUCCAAGUGAACUAGGUGGCCUUAGACAUGCAUCUGCCAGCAUUGGGGGUUCAGAAGCCUAUAGGCACAUGAAAUUUGAAGGAGGUGUUCACAGAGUACAAAGAGUGCCAAAGACAGAAAAGCAAGGCCGCGUCCAUACUAGCACCAUGACUGUAGCAAUAUUACCCCAGCCUACUGAGAUUAAUCUGGUGAUUAAUCCGAAAGAUUUGAGAAUUGACACUAAGCGAGCCAGUGGAGCUGGGGGGCAGCAUGUAAAUACCACGGACAGUGCUGUCCGGAUAGUUCAUCUUCCAACAGAUUGGAAGUAAAGGAAGAUCAGAGAAAAUAAGAACAUAUAAUUUUCCACAGAACCGGGUCACAGAUCACAGAAUAAACAAGACGCUGCAUGAUCUUGAAACUUUUAUGCAAGGAGAUUAUCUACUGGAUGAACUUGUACAGUCAUUGAAGGAAUACGCCGAUUAUGAAUCUUUAGUAGAAAUUAUUUCCCAAAAAGUUUAAGUUGAUUUGUUAUUUAUAGACUUUCGUAGCUUAGAAAAAUUCUACAGUACAUCCACAUAGGGUGAAAAUACCCUUAUUCUCUUAAAAAACAUGAGUUAACACAGUUGGAGGUAAUAUGCAUAUUCUGAAGUCAUAGAUAAUUUACACAGAUCUCUCUCAAUGCAUUAGCAAAAAUCAUACAAUAUACAGAUGGUCCUCGAUUUACAUUGUGGUUAAUUCCCAAUAAACCCAUCAUAAGUUAAAAAUGCAUAAAACGUUAGCAACACAGCAGUCUCCUAAUUAAUGACAGCUUGACUUAACAAUUUUCCAACUUUACCAUGGUGUGAAAGAGGUAUGAUUCCUAAGUCCUAAGGAGCUCCUCAGCUUGAAAUGGGGCUGCAUCCCUAUAAACCCAUCAUAAAGUCAAAAAAUCCUAAAACGUAAGUUGGUGACCAUCUGUAAUCAUGACGUGGUGGUAAAUCUUGGACGCUACCUUACAAUAACUAGACAAAGGAAAACCAUCCUUUGUCCUGUUCUGUGUAAAUAUUUAAUGAAUGAUCAAAACUUCAGUUUAAACAUUAUGAAAAACUUUAAACAUAAAGUAGUAGAAAUAAGACAGUAAAUACUGUAUCCUAAUAUCCAGUCAGGAUACAGAAACCAUACCAUUAACUUGAACAGGGAUAAUUUUAAUAUAAAAAACUGUUAACUGAUAAUGAUAUUAACUUUUAAGAGGGAUGAAAGAGAGCUAUGAUGUCCUAGGACUGAGAGUACCCCAGGAAGGAAUACCCUUGAAAGGGUCUCCCCUUCCCCAUGGUGAAGUCAGGCCUAAUGGAGAGAGUGGCUACAGCCUACUCAGUGAUUGGGAAAUUCCCUGUCUUGCCCUGGGCCAGAGCUGGUGUACCGCUGGUGGAUCAGGUCUUACAAGCAAAGAACCUCACACUCCCGACUGGUAAGCCAGAAGCCUCUUGCUAGGGUGUGAGCAAAACUUGGACAGGAACUCUCAGUAGAUGUUUGUGUUUGUCAAGAUUCUCCAGACAAACUUCCUUAAAAGGAUUGGCUUGUGUUACUAUUAUUAAGUCUAACAAGUCCGAAAGCUGGAGUGUGAGGCAGGAGGCUGGAAACCCAGGAAAGCUGAUGGUGCAAGGUCCAGUCCAAAGGUAUCUGUUGGAGGAUUCUCUUGUUCUGGGAAGAGGACGGUCUUUUUUUCUCUUCAGACCUUCACCUAACUGGAUCAAGCCCACUAACAUCGAGGAGGACAGUCUGCAUUACUCAGAGUUCACUGAUUGAUUUAAAUGUCGAUCUCAUGUAAAAACACCCUCACAGAAACACCUAGAAUAAUGUUUGACCUUAUAAUUGGAAAAUCAGAGCAAAAGUUAAAUCUCUAAAAAAAAAAAAAAAAAAGUAUGACCCAGUAGCUAGGCACCUGUGGCCCUGCCAAGUUGACACAUAAAAUUAACUGUCACAGUAUCAUCUUAGAAGUGAAAGAAGCCCCUUUAUCCUGCAGUGCCCCUCUACCACCACCUACUGACAAAGAACAUGGUGCUAUCUGGCAUGGGAGAAAUGUUCAGUUUGCUAUGGCUUGUAUGUGUCCCCUCAAAUUCAAUUGUUGCCAAUGUGACAGCAUUAAGAGGUGGGGCCUUUAAGAGAUCACUAGGCCAUGAGGGAUUCUCUUAGGACUGGGAUGAAGGCCCAUAAUAAAAGAGGUUUCAGGGAGCAUCCUGCUAGCUUGCCUUCUGUAUGUGAGAACACAGCAAGAAAGCCCUAGUCAACAAGUGCCAGCUCCUUGAUCUUAGACUUCCCAUCCUCCAGAACUGUGAGAAAUACAUUUCUGUUCCUUACAAAUUACCCAGUCUCCUGUAUUCUGUUAUAGCAGCACAAAAUGAAGAUACCAUACCUGAACACCUGAACAUUCUUCACAAGGUAGUAAAUGCACUGCUUUAUUCUGGUCUCAGUAUUGUGUGCUUAAUAAGGAAAUGAAAAAGGGUGGAUCAGGGCAUAGGAUGAACAAGUUACUGCUAGACCUCUCACAAUGCCACUAAUGGAUAAGAUUGUAUUUUCAUCAUUCUUGUCUCUUCGGAAGCUAACACCAUGCUAUAAUAGGCACUAAAUAGAUGUCUAAAAACACUUCAAGUAUUUGUCUAGAAAUCUGGUGCAUUGUUCAGAAAGAACCAAAAUUCAACAUAAUUUCAAAGGGCCUAAAGCACUAGUUAAUCAAAAUUCAUUAGUUUUUAAUGGUACUACCACUCUCAAAUUUAAAAUGUCAUCUUAUGUUCCUCUUCCUCGCAUUGGAUUUAUUGCUAAAACCUGGUAAACACUUUUAAUCCUUUUCAAUUCCAUUACCACUGCUCUUGUCCAGAAUUACUUCGCAGACUAAUAGUCACCUGACUUCUCCCCUGCAUCCUAUUUGCUGUCUAAUUCUGGUUACAAAUAAGUAACUGCCAAACUAAUCUUUCUAAAAAGCAAGACUGAUCUCGUCACUCCUUUGCUCAAAAAUGUAAAAGCUCCCAUUGUCUCCCAAAUAAAACCAGCUUUCCACUGUAUAUACAAUACAUCCA
rnacentral:sRNA from 1 species